ensembl:ncRNA lncRNA:CR45197 long non-coding RNA:CR45197
UGUAUAUGUAUAUUUAAAAGAGUCACUGCAUAUUUUUUUUACAACACCACCUUGAUUUAGUACGUUUAACUUAUGAUAACUGAUGGUAAUAGAAUGGCGGACGAGUUUUGUGUGGUUAGAGCGAGCUAAGAUCUAACUAACUAAGAGUUUGCGUAGGUUAAACAAGGCAUGGUCUUGCAACAACGUGCAGCAUGCAGCAUGCAACACACUCACACACACACACACACCACCCUAAGAAAGCAAGAGGAAGGCAGAAGAGGACAGAAGAGGAGGCGAAGAUGAAGUAAAGUGGAACAGAUUGAGAAAGAGAAGGAGAAUGAGAAGGAGGAACAGAAACAAAGCAAAGCCCCGAGCAUAAUGUUAAUGUUAUGUUAAAACCUAAAUUUAAUGCAAAUUAUUAACGCAGAAAAGAACGAAAGAGAAAAGGAAAAAACAAAAAAAAAAAAAGCAAAAAAACAAAGCAAAAGCGAAAGCGAAACUGUUUAAACUAUACCAAUAUAAUAUAUAAUCAUUAUGAAUAUAAACUAUAUAUUUUUUUUUUUUUUCAACACACACAUUAUGUAUACAUACAUACUGAAUAAAUAAAUUAUUUUUAUUUUUAUUAUAUAUCGUAUCGUAUAUCGUAUAUAUUUUUUUUCGCGCUAAAAUAUAUAUGUACAGAUACCAUUAUUUAGCCAGUAGAUGAGUUAUACGGACACAUACGGACAUACAGAACGGAGGAGGAAGAGAGCGCAGGCGUGGAGCUGGCGCCUGAGAACCGGCGGAUUAGUUGCAAUAUGUAGAUAAGGUCCAAAUAACCGGGUUCCCGCCACCGUAGAGCUCCAUUAUUAUUAUUCGCAUAGAUAGUCAGUGUCGUCCUGCCUCGCCCCCAAAAAGCUCCUUCCCCGCUCCCCCGCUCGCCACAAUUUCCGCACAGAGCUGCUACUGAAUAUUAUUAACAAUUUCUUGCUCAGAGUGGCAAGGGAAGAAGAAGAAAAGAAAAAAAAGAAAAAAUGAGAAGAACGAAGCGAAUUGCAUAAGCGAUAUGAUGAAAAAUGAUGAGCAAAAAACUUAUAUUUAUUUCUAUAGCUUAUUAUAAUCGACCUAAAACUAAUUAUUAUGCUAAUUAUAAACGAUUAUUGAAUACACACACGCAGAAUAAAAUACAUUUUCCUAGUAACUUAGGCACACGCGAGUAAAAAAAAAAAAAAGAACAACUGGAAAACCUUGAAAAAAAAUGCAAAAAAAAAGAAUCAUGAAAAAUUAAACACGUUAGCUUAUUUUUAGACUCGCUAAUUACAUAACACACACACACACACUCUAUACACAGACACGUGCAUACACCGACAAUUGUAUAUGUAAUGCUGUAAUAAUCAUGAUAAUAUUUAGAUUCGUUGAUGAUAAUGAGCAAAGAAGCCGUAAUGAUAAUGAUAAUAAAUGAAUACAACAAAAUCCAACAAAUAAAAAGAGAAACAAAUACAAUAUUUAAAC